CCAGACACCCAUUUUCCUUCCCACUGUUCCUUCCCCAUGGAGAAGCCUGUGGCUGGCUGACAGCAGAGAGAGAUGCUCAACUUGGAGAAGGUGUUACCUGGGCCAGGUGGGGAAGGUUUGUUUGCAGAGCAAAGAAGUGAAGGAAGUAUUAACCCUUUGCAUGGCCUCCUGAGAAUCCGACAAGACGUAAAUAGCCAAGAAUAUCUGUGAAACUUCAUCACUGAGUUACAAUAUUUAUCACUGCAAGUGUGUUGUUCAUUGACACUAUAAAGCCAUGUGGAAUUAAGCAGCCUUGAAACACAAAAUGGAGAAAGGCUAAGAGCUGAGAAUUGUUGCCUUCAGGGAAAUACAAUCAAUGUCAAGCAAACAACCACCCCAAAAUGGAAUGUCAGCCAUUAACCUCACAGUAGGUGAUGAAAAGAUAUUACUUUUUCUCCCCUAUACUACCCAAGCCAGCCACCUCAAGAAAGAACAGUUCAUGUGCAGCCUAUUCAACGUGAAAAAGAUGAGGAUGAAGACCUUUAUUAUGAUCCACUUCCAAGUAAUGAACACACUGGAGAAAGUCAGACAGUCAAAACAAUGUCCCAGACUCCGUGAAGUUCCUGGGUAGAGAAGGAGACAGACAUAUACCAUACCUAAUAAUUGGAUGUCCGAGAGAAUGAGAGAAUGGCAGAAAGAACUUUAGAGCAUGGGUAUGAUGGCUAGAGCUUGAGCAGCCAUUGUGGACAUCAGAUGAACUUGAAAGUGAAAACUAUGAGCUGAAUACGACAAAGCAAACAGAUAGAAAACUGGAUUCAUUAUGACAUUGCAAAGCUGCCAGACCAGCUCUAGUCUGCUUCCCCCUAAUCUUCCUUACUA
rnacentral:lncRNA from 1 species